rnacentral:misc_RNA from 1 species
GAUGAAGAACGUAGCGAAAUGCGAUAAGUAAUGUGAAUCGCAGAAUUCAGUGAAUCAUCGAAUCUUUGAACGCACCUUGCGCUCUUUGGUAUUCCGAAGAGCAUGCCUGUUUGAGUGUCAUGAAAAUAUCAACCUUGACUUGGGUUUUGUGCUCUAGUCUCGGCUUGGAAUUGGGUGCUUGCCGCUUUAACGAGCGGCUCACCUUAAAUGUAUUAGCUGGAUCUGUCUUUGAGACUUGGUUUGACUUGGCGUAAUAAGUAUUUCGCUAAGGACAUUCUUCGGAGUGGCCUCGUUUCUAGGACGCUUGUCCGCUUUCCAAUACAAGUUCCACCUCGUGGACAUGACUUUUUAUUAUCUGGCCUCAAAUCAGGUAGGACUACCCGCUGAACUUAAGCAUAUCAAUAAGCGGAGGA